CCUGGCCUCCAUCCUGGGCUGUUCUGGCCACUGAGAGACAGUCUAUCUGUGUUUUCAGGUGCAUGUGGAGUUGUUAAAGGUCCAUGGAGCUGCUGUAAGAGUCUACCCUUGGCCAUGAGCUCUUGGACAGGUGUGCUUUCUUCUUGACCAUGGAUGUGAUAGUUGGCGCUGCAGCAGCCAUUCCGAGGUC